GUUCAAUGUAGAGAAAUCAAGUACGAAGAUUGUGGAUCCGCAGCCAAACUCUUGUCGGUCGAGAUAGAGCCAUGUGACUCCGACCCCUGCGUCUUCAAGCGUGGAAACACAACUAGCAUCCGAUUUUCAUUGAUCUCAGACCAAGACAGUGAGACCGUUACGCUGGAAGCCAG